rnacentral:rRNA from 1 species
UACAGAGGGGGCAAGCGUUGUUCGGAAUUACUGGGCGUAAAGGGCGCGUAGGCGGCCCUCUAAGUCAGACGUGAAAUCCCUCAGCUUAACUGGGGAACUGCGUCUGAUACUGGAUGGCUUGAGUUUGGGAGAGGGAUGCGGAAUUCCAGGUGUAGCGGUGAAAUGCGUAGAUAUCUGGAGGAACACCGGUGGCGAAGGCGGCAUCCUGGACCAAUACUGACACUGAGGAGCGAAAGCCAGGGGAGCAAACGGG